rnacentral:rRNA from 1 species
GUGCCAGCAGCCGCGGUAAUACAGAGGUCCCAAGCGUUGUUCGGAUUCACUGGGCGUAAAGGGUGCGUAGGUGGUUGAGUAAGUCUAAUGUGAAAUCUCCGAGCCUAACUCGGAAACUGCAUCGGAUACUAUUCGGCUAGAGGAUUGGAGGGGAGACUGGAAUACUUGGUGUAGCAGUGAAAUGCGUAGAUAUCAAGUGGAACACCAGUGGCGAAGGCGAGUCUCUGGACAAUUCCUGACACUGAGGCACGAAAGCUAGGGGAGCAAACAGGAUUAGAUACCCCCGUAGUCC